CGUUCUCUCGCGAGAGUUGCGCCGCGGGCGCUCAGCCCUCGCGGGCGGUUGUUCUCCGUCCCCGCUCCCUGUCCGGCGCAUCGCGGGAGGCGCGGGCUGUGCCGUGGGCGCCCACCCCCUCGUCACCCCGCAGCGCAGGGGGAGACCAUUGAGAUCAUCGAGUCCAACCUGUGACCGAACACCACUAAGUCACUUAGACCAUGGCACUCAGUGCCACGUCCAGUCUUUCCUUAAACACCUCCAGGGACGGUGACUCAGCCACCCCCUGGGCAGCCCAUUCCAACGUCUAAUCACCCCUUCUGUGAAGAAAUUCUUCCUAAUGUCCCACCUAAACCUCCGUGGCACAAUUAAGACUAUGCCCUGGUCAUGGGAGUAUAUUUCUUUUCAAAACAAAACCCAACAUUUUGGUUUUCGGUUGCAACUCGGAAAUUAAAAAAGCGUUUUACUUUCCAACAAUCCUGGUUUCUACUAGCCACCAUUUAAAGGAGACUUGUGAUAAGACUUCCUUAGGUUGCAUAUAACAGAAGACUAAUUUAGGAAACACGCAUGGUGCAGAGGCAGGGUUUUGGAGCCAUGUUUUGUUACCUGCUACCACCCCAAAUACCACAGACAGGAGCUUUGUGCUGGGCUGGAGAGACGAGGAGAAGAAGAUGUGUUGUUCAGCUCAUUUUUCUGGUGUUUCCUACAGAAGGACUAGCCUGACAAUGCCAUUAAGAAUCACAGAAGAAAUCAAAGACUUUGGAAGCUAAAAGUCAAAAAUCUAAAAAGUAAAGUAUCCCUGAUUUUCUGGGGGGAUUGUGCAGAUCAGUAUUUCUGGUAAGUUGACUGAAAUGUAAUGUAAGCUUUUGAUUCUUUAAGUAGCCUCGAUGAAAUGUUAACAGUUCUUCUGUAUUGUAUCUGUAACGAAGUGGGAAGAUUAGAAGUGAGGUUUGGCUUCAGCAGAUCGUAUUGUUGUCUUUUAAAUUAGUUUUGCUCUGGGCACAGUGCCUGUAGUUUUCUUAAUCUGUUAAACCUUUUUUGGUAAAUUAAUAAUUUGGACAAUGAUGAAUAUAAAUAAUUUACAUCUACAGCUUUCAUGUCGUAUGUUUGCUGAGGUGGAUUUACAAAGGCAUCAAGCCAGGAUGUAAUUCCUGACUUUAUUAGGUUAUGAAACAGAAUCUAGCCAGAAGAUAUAAUGUCCUCAAGCUGUAACAUCAGCAGCAACAGACAGACCUUAAUGUUGCUGGACCUAAUGGAAUUAAAUUUCAUGUAUGCUUAAUGAAUGCAAAUGCCACUUAAUUUUUACAGCUUGAGUUGUAAUACAUUGCAUGUGACACGUCUUCUCCUGAAAAAAAUAUUCAAAUGUGUGAUUCUUACACCCAGUGUCCAAUUUCAGCACUGUAAAAUGUAUCCUCUUAGGGAAGAGGGACUGGAGAAACAUGCCAGCAAUAUUACUGCAUAAUUUAAAGCAGCCACUAAAGAGAAAUGUUAAAAUAUGCACCAGGCAAUUACAAGUGUUGUAUAUGUUUUUAUUCUCCUUUGCUGCUGUUCAACAAGGAGUAGUAAAAAGAUUUAGAGCAAGUGGCAACCAUAGCAACAAGGAAUUUUUGGUCCAACCUGGUGCUGUAUAAUUUCUGGCAAAGAAACACAUUUCUGCAUACUCUGUAAGGUGUUGAUUCUUCCAGAAGAUAUGUGCAGUGCUUUCAGUUCUGCCUCUCAGGAACUAGUCCCAUAGAGGUAUGUGAGAGCCAGUUUUGGUGCAAGCCCAAGCACAAGUGAUUUACAAUUGGAUUUUACCAGAGCUGGUCGUGACACUUGUUCAGUAGUCCCUUGGGUUUGUUAAUUAUUGAUAGAGAUAAUAAGUCCCAUUAUGCUCCCUGUGAGAGAGAAGGGAAAUAGAUGUGAAGUGGAAGAAGGUUUCUAUCCCUUACCGGUUCCCUUCUCCAUCCAGCUGUGGCUGUGAGAAAACCCAAGCAGAGCUUUGUUCUUCAGACCUGAUCACACCAACUACCCUGCUCUGGGGGAUACGAAGGCCCUGUCAAACACAGCUCCCCAGUAGUGGUAAAUACCAGAGUGACUCUGUCUUUAGAGUUUUUUGCUUGCUUGCAGACAGCUAAGUGGGCAAUGACCCUAAAAACAAGUAAGCGAAAACUCAAGGGUGGAAUGCAAACUCAAUUAUAUAUGUGGAGAUCCCAGAAAAUGUAUUCAGUUGAUGUGGGUGUGUGGGGUUUUCCAAAUACAGUCCAGUGAUUAGUCGCUGUGCAUUUUAUAAAACAAAGUGGGUGUCAUGAUACUGAAGAUUAUGGCAGACAUAGUAGUCACAAAGAAGUCUAGCUACUGAUUGUAAAUUAAUCUGUGCAAAGUCAAAAGGAUCUGAGAUUCUCACUCAGAGAAUGUUGACCUUCACAGCUAGACACCAAAAUUAAACAUCCAUCACUUCUCACGACAAAGAGUAAAUUUGCACGGUUAAUUCUGAAAUAAAAAUGAUGACAAGAUUACCGUACAAUGAAGAGUAUGCAAUAUGAAAGAUGUUAUUCCAGAGAACAUGUUAGAAAUGACUGUCAUUAAAUGUCAGGUUUUUUCUGUCUCUUUUGGAGGCAAUCCUUCUACUUUAUAAGAUAGAGCUGUUCUACACAGUGGCUUAGAGUAGGCUGAGGGCUUUUUGCUCUGAUUUGAUGGGACAAACAUAUCCUCCAGUAAAGGUACUGAGGUCUAUAAGCCUCUUUUGUUAAUAGCCUUGUUUUCCUUAGCUUUUCCUCUUUCACAUACCCCAGGUCUGCAGAUCCCAGGCUGAAAGCCACUACAUGAUGAGGUGCCCCUUGAAAGUCCCUUAACCAGGCAUUAAUUCCUGCUAUUUAGUAAGUUUUACAAGCUAUUUGCCCAUUGCUUUUUUCCAGGUGGGAAGUUGGGGAUAGGUCCCAGAGAUGGUGUACGUAAAGUACACACCUGACCAUUUUAUCUAACAUUCCUUUGAAGGUUACUUAUCACAAAAUGCUGUGAUAGCACAUAGACCUCCUCCACUUCAUUACACCUUAAUUUGGGAUCCUGAGACUAUAAAAUUGUUUCGUAAAUUAUCUGGAAAUAGCUAUAUCUGACUCUGCAUCCCAGGGGAAGAAGCCUAUUGCCCUUUGGCAAGACAUAUGAAGUUACCUAUGAUCAAGGCAGCACAUUUUUAAAUACCUUAUCUCUGUAUUUGCAAUUGCUGUAUCAAGUUACAACGGUAGGAAGUGGAAGAAAAGCAUUGCCACUUUAGAAUACAGAUGUUUAGAAAGGAGUGAAUUAAGUGAGACAGAAAUCUAGGAUCUUCUACUUUCAUUUUUUUCAGUAACACUAUUUCUUUGAUAGCCUGGGAUAAAAAAGGCAGAAGGUGGGUAGUAUUAUUUGAACAAAGAUCUCAGCAAUUAUUGCAUGUGGAUAGCCUUUGUAUUGUGCAGAUUGUUUUCCUCCACGCAUAUUUUGUUUCUUGCAUUGAAGCACUUAAAACAUAUCCAGCAGAGUUAUACAUCUACAUAAAUAUUUGAUAACUCUAAUUGUGCAGCCUGAACCACACUUUCACCCUUGGGCAUGUAGUGCAAGUAAAUGUGCAUAGCACCUGUAUAUAAGAUGUUAAGGUGAUCAGGGAAUGUGUGAGCUUGCCUGAAGCAUCAAUUUAAAGCAACAGCUCUAUUUGUGCUAUUUCAAAAUCAAAGGAAAAGUAUGUUCUUAUUUUAUAAUUAAAGAGAAUUAAUGUUAAUGAUUUCACAUUACUCAUUAAAUUAACAUGAAAAUCAUCAAGUUCUCAUUGUCACUUCUAUUAUAAACACCUGUCCUGCUAGGAAUCUUUCACACGUGAAAGAGUAUCAGACAUGUAACAAGGUAAGAAAGAGAUUUCGGGCAUAAGAUGGUCUAAAUGCCAUUUUGGUUCUUAGAAAAAGUAUUGUUAACCAUGGAUUUAAUUUAUUUUGGAGAGAGGUGAGCUAUAAUUGUAGCUCUUAGAAAUGCAUACUGCAGGAUUUCUGUCUUUUAUUUUCUGCUAAAUGUCAUUUUUCAUCUGAAAAAGAAAAGCUGGCUAUUUUUAUUUUGAAAAAGCUGUCUCUGAUUGUAUAUCAAUAGACUCUAUUCUUCAUGAAUCGUUGACAAAUUGAAAUACUAAUAUAAAAAAGAAAAAUCUCAGUUUUUUCCUAUCCAUAUCCAUCUUAAAUGCAGAAAACCUGAGGUUAUUCUUGUAGGCGGGCAUAAGACCAGGGUUUCCAUCCUUUGAAAAAUUCUGAUACUGCUAAUUUUAAUUCCUCAUGACUUGGAGUGAAAAGUUGAGGUAGUUUGGGGGAGUCACAAACUCUCCAGUCUCACAUUUAGUCAUAGCACUUGUUUAGUGCUGAAACAAAAGCCUUCUUUUAGUCUUUUCUUUGUUUGCUUGUUUGUUUUUACCUUCGAUGUGUCCAGAAGACUGAGAAUAUGAGUCUUGUGGGACAUUUUCUUCCAGCUCCUCUGCUUUCAAUUUUUCUCCCCAGGCUGAGUGUUUGGCCCCACCACAGCCAUGCAUUGCCCACCUACAUGUAAUGUUUUGGCCAAAGGGGCAACAUGAAAAGUGUCCUUAUGGGAAUGCUUAUGUUGUGCUGCAGUCUUGUGUGUAGCACUGCAGCAAUUCAGUUGGACACAGCUUAGUGUUGAACUGACACUCCACAAAUUCAUCUGAGAGGUUUCUAUCAAGGCUGACAUGAUUCAAAGGCAUUUCAUUUCUGUGUCUGAUGAAAAAGUGAAAAAUUACCCACAGAAAUUUUGAUUCACAAAGAGUUUCAGUUUUAAAGACAAAGACAUUUUUCCCGAACAGCAUAAAUCAAAGUUGUUUUCCUGUUUACAAACAUCCCAGCCUUGCUUACUGGAUGUCCUCCUAUAUUUUAGUGUAACUGCUCACCCUCAGCUGUCCUUCUCAGCUUGGUUGAGGGUAAUGGGAAAGGAUCCACAUUAAAAAAUAAUAAUAACACUAAUUUAUUGCUUUUCAAAAAGAAAAAAAUGUAUGUGACAAGUAUAAUCUGCUUCUUUACCACGUCUCAGAUUAUCUAGGCCAAGCCCUUGGACUUCUGCUUGCGUAUCUUCCCCUUCAAUCUGUCAUAGCGCCUGGGGCCAUUACCAAAAUGAAGGCAUCAGGUGCCCCCAGUGGGACUCUUCUUGCUGAACAUGAAAAUCUCCAGUCUCCGUGAGCUGAGCUGAUCACCUUGCACACCUGUUAUUGUUAAGGGAAGAAACAGGCCCUUUUAUGGCUCGGGUUGUUUGCUCCAUCCUGGCACCUGUAUCAGGACAGCAACACCACGCCCUGCAAGUGUCCUUUUGCUCUGCUGCCUGUGCAGACUCAGGGCAGCUGUCACAAGGAUAAAGAUCUGCGUUUUGUUAAAUCAGUCAAGGAGCCUGUGAAGAUAUCUUCUAACUCCAGACAUAAGGAAGUAUGAGAGCAGGCAAUGGUCUCCCAGAAGGCCUGCAUCAGAUGUGGCUUGGAUGUCCUAGGAGGUCUCAAAUGGUGUUAGAGAUGUCUGAAAUGCUAUACAUCUCACUCCAACAGAAAAAGUCCAAACCUUUCUGCUUGAGACAAAGAAAUGGCAUUGUAGCAUCUGUGAAGUGCUUUUUUUAACCAUUCGCCAUCCUGCAUAGUAUCAGUAAUAUUUUUCUUGUAUUAAAAGAAAACCAGUAAAAGCAAAUGAGAUUUCAGUGAAUUUUUAUGCAUAUGAAUUCUAAAUCAAAUAUUCUGAGUACAUCAAAUGUGCAUGUUUUCCUUGAGAAUGACAAAUAUAUGGGGAAACGUUAGGUUUUCUGUGGCAGAGGAAGAAGGCAGACAAACCUCUGAAGUAAAACAAACCUUUAAAGACUUUUAUUCUGUAACACCAUGUUUGGCUUCCUAUAAAAAUUACUGUGAGGAGUGCAGUUGAUAAGUAGGAUGUUUCUAAAAACAUUUGCUGAUGUAUUGAAACAUAAUUUGCUGGCAUAGACUUCCAAUUCAGCACCAUGGUGCAGCCUGCAGUGCACUUGGGUGAUGUUUGCAGGCCAGGCUGCCUGCUGCUGGCUGGAUGGGGAGGGUGAAGCAGAGGUAGGUGGGGGUCACUCCUAGCUGCCUCCCAGCUGGGUUUGUGAUUGGAAUCAUCCAGGGUGAACUUAGCAUCAGCUACACAGGAAACAGUUGAAAGAAAUAAGACAUUUGGGCAGAGAUUUAGGUACAUGUUGUUCUGUGAUGAAAAUAUUUGAUUUGGGCAGACUGCAGUAGAGGUUUACCACUGCUCUGUACUUUACUAUAUGAUUAUUCUGGCAGGUUGCCAUAGCUGCAGGUGCUGAAUAAUCAGAUUUUUUCGUUUUCCAUGAGGACUCAAAUUCUUUGUCUAAGGAAAGGAAAUAUUUUUUUUUCUGUCACUUGCAGCAGUAGUUUACAUCAUCAUUACUGAAGAGUAUGUAGCAAGAAGUGAUUCGCCAGUACCAAGUAUAACAAAUAUAAAGACAGUCAAGAAAACUGUCUAAAUUACAUAGACUAAUGGAGGGGUCUGAUUUUACACUGCCUUGCUUCUACUCUGUAUUAUUUGCAGGACAGAGUUGUAUAAAGAUGAAAGGCUUUUAUUCUGUGUUAUUUUCUUCAUACAAUGUUUUUUUUCCAGUUCCACGUUGCACUAGUUUAAUGAAUAGUUCAU